ACCUGCACAGGUGCUGCAUGGCUGUCGUCAGCUCGUGUCGUGAGAUGUUGGGUUAAGUCCCGCAACCGAGCCGCAACCCUUAUCCCCAGUUGCCAUCGAGGUAAAGCUGGGAACGUCUGGGGAGACUGCCGGUGAUAAACCGGAGGAAGGCGGGGAUGACGUCAAGUCCUCAUGGCCCUUACAUCCCGGGCUACACACGUGCUACAAUGGCAGGUACAGAGGGCUGCGAAGCCGCGAGGUGGAAGCGAAAUCCCAGAAAACCUGUCUCAGUCCGGAUUGAAGUCUGCAACUCGACUUCAUGAAGGCGGAAUCGCUAGUAACCGCGAAUCAGCAGGUCGCGGUGAAUACGUUCCCGGGCCUU
rnacentral:rRNA from 1 species